rnacentral:lncRNA from 1 species
AAUACACAUUAGUAAAACUAAAUCAACUCUGCUGGAUACAAGGCAUUUCUACAGCUCUCCUUCAUCUGGUGGCGGAGGGAUUCAGCAUUCUCCUCCCACCGGAGCUCCACCGGGAGGGCAGACCCCUGUGCCGACCCCUUCCUUGAGCUCAGGCCCCCGCUCCUCUGCCAGGUGGGUGGAAAGCCAUGCUGUGCAUUGCAACUGUGUGGCUGCCCUGUUCCUGACGCCCUGGCCGUGUUUUCAGACGGAGUUUGCAGAGUGCCCGGGUCCUGCCUGAUGUCUGCGUCUCUGCACAGCACUUCUCAUACCAGGUUCUGCCCCACUCCCCUGAUGCAGGGUCCUUGGUCCUCCUCACAGCCUCAACGUGGACUAGGCCAUCGCUGUGCCCCCGUGUGCCCAGCACGCAGCCUUCACACACAGCAGCCACACAGACUGACCUGCUGGGAGCUGGCACCAGCACCAGCCUUCCAGAUGUACGCCCGGAACCCAGAGCUCCCUGGUUCUGGCCCAGGGUACUAGAAAGAGCACAGAGUUCUAGAAGCCUCAAUGCUGCCAUUCACUGAUGCCUGAGAGAAGAGAACCCGCGAGAAGACAGUCAGUCCCUUCACUGGAUGCAAAGUUAGGUAGUGUCUGGGGCACACUUUUUUGACAAAGGGAUUUUUGAGCCAGUCCUGGGUGCAAGGGACAGUCUGUGGUCCGGCUGCGGCAGUAAUGGCGGGGAGCUGUGCCUGGAGCCACUCUGCGUUGGUUCUAAUCCUGGCUCCCCCACCGUGGACAAGUUUCUUCCCCUCUCUGUGCCUCAGUUUCCUCAACUGAAAAGCAGGGGUAAUAACUGUGCCUACUUCAUGGAGUCAUUGCGCGGAUGAGAGAAGGUGAUGGGGGUAAAGCUGGGAGCAGGGCCUUCUGGAAGCCGCCCACAGUGAAUGUUAGCCAUUACUCAUCCCCCAGCAGCGUUCAUGGGAAAGAGAAGCAGGAUAUUUGACACUGGGGCCCUCCCAGGAAAGCCCAGAUGUCCCCUGCGCCACCGAGGCCGCCGCAGCGUGGGAAGGAGAAAGCGCUGCAGCCGCCGAGCCUGGAGACCGGCUGGGACCAGACACAAGCCCUUGGUUCUGCAGAGCCUCUGCUUCCUGAUCUAUAAGGUGGGCACGGCCACCACUGCCAGGGUCCUCACGGUGUCCUGGGGGUGAC